rnacentral:rRNA from 1 species
GAUGAACGCAGGCGGCGUGCCUAAUACAUGCAAGUCGAACGCGCAGCGAAAGGUGCUUGCACCUUUCAAGCGAGUGGCGAACGGGUGAGUAACACGUGGAUAACCUGCCUCAAGGCUGGGGAUAACAUUUGGAAACAGAUGCUAAUACCGAAUAAAACUUAGUAUCGCAUGAUACAAAGUUAAAAGGCGCUACGGCGUCACCUAGAGAUGGAUCCGCGGUGCAUUAGUUAGUUGGUGGGGUAAAGGCUUACCAAGACGAUGAUGCAUAGCCGAGUUGAGAGACUGAUCGGCCACAUUGGGACUGAGACACGGCCCAAACUCCUACGGGAGGCUGCAGUAGGGAAUCUUCCACAAUGGGCGCAAGCCUGAUGGAGCAACGCCGCGUGUGUGAUGAAGGCUUUCGGGUCGUAAAGCACUGUUGUACGGGAAGAAAUGCUAAAAUAGGGAAUGAUUUUAGUUUGACGGUACCAUACCAGAAAGGGACGGCUAAAUACGUGCCAGCAGCCGCGGUAA